UGGGGUCACUCGAAUUCCUAUCGAUCUUGACACGAGGCACCCCUUAACGAAGGGAUAUCUUGAGCGAACGCUCGAUAUCCCGAGCAGAGGACGAGUGCGCGUCUCUUUGGAAAAAACGGUGUUCAAGUUCCGCGUCGUGUCUGUGCAGAGAAACUGCGGGAAGGAAGCUGCGAUGGCCCGAUCGAGAGGAACGUGAGAGCCCUGCCGUCAUCCUGGCGCGUGGCAAAUCGGGUCAAAGGCCCGGCUCCUCGUCCUCGUCGUCCUCGUCCACAGAGAGGAUGCAAAAGAUGCCCGGGCCGUCGAUGACGCAGGAGCGACCCCGUGCCCACCGGCUCACCGACAUCGAGUCUCAGACGAAGGGCUCGAGCGGUAGUCGGAUGGACGAUUUCGGCACGCCUGUCAGUUCUGGCAGUAACAUGAGUAGCAUCGCGCGUUUUCCGAAGCUUGACGAGUGCGCCCAUUUUCACUAUGAGCACGUUGAGCUUGGUACUCUGGAGGUAUCCGUCAACGAGGGUACCAACGACUCUGAGAGCUACGCCGUACGAAUAACAUCUGGAGAUGCGUGCUGGACGCUGCAGAGGUCCUACGACAACUUCGUCAUGUUCGAUAAGCAACUGCAUCGCUGCAUAUUCGACAGAAAGUUUUCCUCCUUAACGAAGCUUCCAGAUGUUCGGCCAAAAAAUGCCUGUGAUAUACUGAAGGAUUACUUGAGCCGGUUCUCGCAGCUGAAUCAUGAGGGCCUAAACUGCGGCCCGGUAUUAAAUUGGUUACAACUCGAUAACAGGGGAAGAAGGAUUCUGGUACCGGAAUCGGAUUCCUGUCCUAUCAAUACUCCAGCUGUCGCCGCGGCAUACGCCGUAAGACCUUACACUGCUCAAGCACAAGAUGAGAUCUCUUUCCAGGUAGGCGACAUGAUAUCCGUAAUAGACAUGCCCCCACCAGGGGAAAGCACGUGGUGGCGCGGAAAGCAUGGAUUCGCGGUUGGAUUUUUUCCGGCCGAAUGCGUCGCCGUAAUAGGAGACAAAGUGCCGCGUCACCUGACGGUAUCGACGACGGUCAGAUCGAGGUUACCAGUGAAGCCCGUGCUCCGAAAACAUGGAAAAUUAAUCGCCUUUUUCAGAUCCUUCAUACUAAAUCGGCCCUCUAGGCGAAGAUUAAAGCAAUCGGGUAUACUGCGAGAACGCGUGUUUGGUUGCGAUUUGGGAGAGCAUCUAUUAAACUCUGGCCAAGACGUACCCACCGUUUUGACGUGCUGCGCGGAAUUCAUAGAGAAACAUGGUCUAGUCGACGGUAUAUAUCGCCUUAGUGGCGUGACGUCCAACAUUCAAAAAUUGCGAAACGCCUUUGACGAGGAUAGGGUACCAGCGUUGCAUUCCGAUGAGAGUAUUUUGCAAGACAUCCACUCCGUAGCGUCAUUAUUGAAGAUGUAUUUUAGAGAGCUGCCGAAUCCAUUGUGCACGUAUCAACUUUACUCCACUUUCGUCAAUGCGGUUCAAGCUGGCAGCGACGCCGAGAGGUUGAGACGUAUGAGAGACGCGGUUAGAAAGUUACCGCCACCGCACUACAGGACGCUGGAGUAUCUGAUGCGUCAUCUGGUGAGGGUAGCUGCGCGUGGCACUGAAACGGGCAUGACUCCGCGCAACGUGGCCAUCGUCUGGGCGCCGAAUCUCUUGAGAUGCAAGGAGUUGGAAGUAGGUGGCGUGGCGGCGCUUCAGGGUGUCGGAGUCCAGGCGGUCGUGACAGAAUUUCUAGUCUGCUACGCGGAGCUCAUAUUCGGGGACGGCCCUGUCGGCAGACCAAAGUCUUUAGCGAUUACUACGUCUGCGCGACUACUCACGUUGGAGGAGGCGCGCAACAGAAGCCUCCGUGGCGAGCCUGAUUACAUAGAAGUAGGAGCGGGUCCGGCUGGCCUGCCUCUGCGCUAUCAUACCGUCAUAGAGCUACCGCGUAAGCGAAAUGGCUCGAAACGAUCACCCUCACUAAACUGGCGGGCACUAUUCGGUAGGGGCGCCAUCGGGAAAACGAGACAAAUUGGCACACCACCUCAGACAGAAACAGUGCCAAGUUCCUUGAACUCCCUGCGACGAUUGAGACCUGUGAAAAGCGCCGACAGUUUAGACGGCGAGGAUGGAUUGGGUCCUCUCUUGGGAGGGCCACCUCCUAUUAGAACCUGCGGUCACAGUCGAUCUGUCUCGCACGACUCGUACUUUGAUCACUUGGCCGAUGCGCCCAACGCAUCUUCGCCGUUGGAUCUCUCGGAGAUACAACUCAAUUUUGAUCUCGAAGAGCGAGAAAUGCGGAUGCUCUCGGAAGAGGAAGGUGGAGGAGUAGCGUCGGUAGAGGCGUCACCGCGUCGACAGAGAACCGAGGGAAAUCAGUGUGCCGCCGCAACCGGUGGGUCCAAGAGGAAAAGAUCUCGUUUGGAGGAAAGAUUGCAUUGCGAAGUCGAGUUGCGUUUUAUAGACAGCCAAAGUCCCGAUCAGGUUAUGACAAGCGCGGAUAUUCACAGUAUCGAUACACCGUCUCCGUUACAAACGCCAGGCUAUCUACCGUUAUUGUCGGAAGCCUCUACGCCGUUGACGCCCGCUACGUUGCAGGGCACGUCUCACUCUACGUCACCGAUACCAGCUAACAGUCCCAGAAUAAGUUUCCGAAGUUUUACUUUGCCAUUAGAGAUUGGUGAUGAGCGCGACGGAAGUAGUACGAAUAAGCUAAAGGAAAUGAGUGUGACGUCUUCUGAAAAGUCGUCGGAACCUAGCCAUAGAUUAUCCGUAAAUUUAGACGACCGAAACAAGAGAUUGGAGUCAUGCGAGAGGAUUAUGACCUACGAUGGGCGGGCGGAGUUGCGUGAUAGAAACGCGACCACAUCGCGAACGGAAAAUCGCGUCGCGACUCAAUCAAGUGCGGUUGCCUCGAUCUUUAAUGAUACAGAGAUGACGCCAUGCAACAGAUUAUCCUCUUCGUGCGAAGAAACCACGUCUGGCGGGGUUGCCGUGUCUCGCAAGGAUGUGACAGGUGCACUGACAUUGCAUACCAUGGAGAUCUCGUCUAAAUCGUACGAAGAAAAGAAGGAGGCAGCGAAAGGAUGCGACGAGUCUACCGAUCCGUCAAAUAGUCUCACCACCGUAGGCGAUUUGCCGAGAUUGCCAUCUAACAUGACCGAUCUCGAUUCUCCGAUGUCGUGCGAGCAAACUCUGCAGGAGCUGCAAGAAUCCGGAUUUGUAAUUUGCGACAACUCCGACAAAGUGUUUAUCAGUACGGAAAAUCCGCGCGCCACGAGCAGCAAUAAUGAUUCUGGUGAUUGGGUGAUUGUUGGAGGAAUGACGGCUAAUUCCUUUGCCACGCCGAUUAGCGAAUCGACUAGUCCCAACCAUUCUUUUGUGGAAAGCGACGCGAAUCCAACGUCGGAGGACGUUUCCGGCGCAUUACUGGAGCUCACGUUACCUCCGACCGCGGAUGCAUUUCGCAUGGGAGUCGACAACUCGACGGGAAGUCGUGUGACGACGCGGGAAAGCGAGGAGAUGAUUCUCGAUGUUACCGAUACGAAGAAGUACGCGAGUCACGAGGACGAGCGGCAGAAGGCCGAUCCGCAGACGAGUUUCGGUCUCGUAAACGAGGAUAAUCUCACGGACGACGCUCAUUCUCGGCUGCGCGAUCGGGAGAACGGCAAUCGAUUGUCGUGUACGGAUGUUAAUUCCAGUCAAGAGUCUAACGCGAGGGAGCAGCAGGUUCGCGCGUGUUACAUCGAGGCGGACAAUGCGAACGUAUUUGGUACAAAUCGAAAUGAGGUGCGCGACGACAAAGAGUUGUUUAGGGAGACGGAAACUAUCGCCGACUUCGAGAACUAUCGCCGUCUGCCGAGAGACACGAGCGCGCAGCAACGAGAUUGCGCGACGCGCACCUUGCACGCCACGAAUCAUUCACGAUUCUCGAAUAAACCCGUGGGGGAUCAGGAAACGAGCGUUACGCGGGACAACGAUCGCGACAACGACCACUGCAUGAACGGACUGUCAAAGAAGUGCCAAAGUUUCGGAUACAAUAACCCGCAGAAACAGCAGAGUAAUACGCAGCAAAUGCGAAAAUGCGCUUCCAAACGUGGCGAGGAGGGUCACAAGUGCGCCAGCUUGCAAGCCAAUCAGAUACGAGGCAACAUUGAUGUGAGAAUUCCCUCGGAGAACGCGGCCGAGCCUUGCGAAGUGGCGCACGCUCCAGAAGGGGCGUCCGAACUGAUGGAACGGACAUUGGACGCGUCGAGUACGUUCACGAACGUCUCGUCCUCGACCGUCGACGACACGGCGGUUCUUCCACCGCGGGACACCGCGGCGAUCCUGCAGGAGCUCGCUCUACAAAGAUUAUCCGGAGGCGCGGUGGGAGACGUGUCCACGCCUAUAAGAAGAAAAUACGAGAGCGAAACGAUCAGAGAACGAAGAAGCUUCGACUCGGAGAUUGGUCGGGAGAUCGUCAGGGAGAGCAAGAUGAGGCAGGAAUUGGAUUGCGCAAGAGGCAAGUCUGAGGAGCCGUCGCAACAUUUGCCACCCUGUUUGCGGGCGCGUCACGCGAGGGCAACUCGGGCGGCGCUGAGCCGCUCCUUGGACGAGGCCAAGUUCAAUCGAAUGACGGGGGACAUCUCGUUGUCGGUGAAGCCGACGUCCGAGGACGUGCAGCACUGCUCGACGCCCAACGUCGGCAGUAGCUCCGGCACCUGCUCGAGCGUGUCCGAGAAGAUCCAACUGAGGAAUCUUGGCGGCCUAGACCUGGGAGACCCGCAGUGUAGAGAAAGAAUCGAAAAGUACAAAGAGGAGAGAAGGACGUUCUUAAGGGACAAAUAUCGGUCGGAGAGUUUCCGGGGGGUUUCAUCGAAAACGGAAGACGACGGCGAGCAGGCGUUACUAACCAGGUUGAAACAGAGGGCCUCGAGACCCUCUCUUCAUUGAUGAAAACCAUGUCUGCAUAAGACAAGGGAAAAGAGAGAACGAGUUUGAUCUCUCUAUAGUAGUAUAAAUAAGUUCUCAGAACCGUUAACGCGUAAUGCGAUAUCCCCUUAUUUACCUGCAUCUUAGAACAAAGUUCAAAUUCGUAGGGCGGCUGAAUUAAUUGUAAUGACCAAAUUCUCUCAACCUUGUUCUUAACGCCACGCGUCUGCUUGUGUUUUUCGAAUAUAGGGCAACUAAUUAGAACGGCGGGACGUCGAGCGAAUGAUACAUCUAAACGACUCCACUAAAUCGCUUUCACUCGAAUCUCACCGAUGGCCGCGCGGCACACCGCGGCUGAUAUUGAAGGUGAAUUACGACGAGGACGAUAAAACGAGUUGCGCGAUCCAUGACUCAUCUUCGCAUCGUCGAUCGCCAUUGUUAGAUGAAUUGUACGAACGCUUUUAAAGCUCAUUAUUAAUUUAUUACGGACUCGAAAGAAGGUAUUCAUUUUUAUUAUUGUUAGAAGCUUUAAUAACGAUUCUCUUUGUAAUUAUUAUUAUCAUUAUUAAUAUUAUUUGAUUUUUAUAUUUACUCAUAUUCUUUGUACUGUUACGCUAGCGAAAGAAAAAACGCGCGCUCGCGCGCGCGCGUAUUGUUUUAACUGCGCUUUGUAUGUACCAGAGUCAAAAAUAUCUCGCAUAGUUUCUCACGACGUCACGCGAGACGUUGAACUCUCACCUGUUGCUUUUACGCGUUUUAGGUAAGAGUCUUAUGGAAAAAAAAUAUGUCUUUCAAUCUUUUUAGAGAAAUACUUUUUACAAGGCGACGCAACAAAUCUCGUCGUCUCUUUAUAGCGAAAUUAUAACUCCCUCGAUAUUCAGACGAGUGUUCUCCAAAAAUUUCUGGUACAUACAUAAAGUUUAGCUUUGCGCAUCGCGAGUUCGUCGGGGAGACUCAACGAAUUCAUUUAUGACGUUACACGAUGGGCGCUUUAUUUGCGUGCCAAUGUUAUUUUCUCGUUAUGGACUGGUCCAUAAUGACGAUACCCACAGAUAUAUCUUUUUGGAAAACACGUUAAUUCUCUCGGUUAGUUAAUACGUGUGUAACAUAUUGAUUUCUAUGACAACGCGCUUGUCGACGGAAGGCUUGCUUAAAAAUCAAGAUUACUAUCGGAUUACUGGUGGUUCUCAUGUCUUAAAUAAGCGCUUACUCUAAUGCGUACCUCGCGCGCAUAGGCCUCGCGUUUCACUACAUUUCGAUUACGAAGUAGCCUUUGCUUGGCUACCUCACCUCGCCUCAUCUCACCCUUAUUGUCCAUUUCUAUAUCCAUGUAGAUUAACUUUAAUCUUAAUUUAACUUGCUCUUUAUCUGUCUCUAGUUUUAAGAAUUAGAAAAAAGGUAAACGAGUAAGUGGAAGAAGAAAUGGACAUAUAUUACAGUUGAAGUUGUACGUCGCGCGAUUUUAUGAUACGUUAGACAGUUUACGUUUAUAGUUUUUAUUUCAUUUUUCUUUUGAUAUAUCUCAUUUUAUUAUAUUUCAUUUUUUCAGCGAUUUUAAUCUUUUCUAUGGAAGAGAGAACGCGAUAAUGUUUUCACGUGUGAAAAAGUUCUUUUUAUUAUUAUUUUUUUUUUUUUCGUAUUCUACAAAGGCGCGAGUGUUUCUUUUUUUUUUUUUAAUACGGUUCGAAGACCGUUUAACAAGACUGGGACUAAUUGUCGAUGCUAAUUAUUGAGCGUCUUGCGUGCGGACGCGAUAAACGGACAAAUUGCAAUUCAAUAUACUCCGAGAGCUGGAAGAGUACGUUUUGAUCUCUUGCAAAUUCUCAAGGCAUUUAAUUAGGAUUAUUACUUGCGCGAUGUUUCAAUUCCUGCAUGCGUAGCGAGGGUUCGAAACCGUGGUUUCCGUAUCAAAUAACGACUCUUUCAUUUUGGUCAUCGACGUGACCGAUUUUUUUUUCUCGUUAAUUACACUGUUCAACAGGAAAAAUGCAUGAGAAUGAAAGUGAUCGUUUCCCGUAGCUUUUUUUGACGUUGAAUUCAAUCCUAUUGGCCAAAUUGCUCUACCACGUCACAAUUUAGAGAAAAUUUCGGUUAAAGUGCAAAAGGACUUUAAUAAAAGGUAUAGUCGAUGAACUGAUAUCGUUUCACAUUUCGAACGAAUUCUUUUGCUUUUAUAUCUUACAUAUCGUUUAUAUUGGAGAUGUUUAAUUCCAAUAUCAUUAAUCGAGUUUUUGUGUCAUUCGAAUAUGAACCCUUUUAUUACAAAUGUAUUAAACUUCUGAUGCGAUUGAUUUUUGGUUUGUUCAUUGGGAAUGUUAAUUAUGUUGUUUAAUACGAUUCAUCCCUUAAAAAGAACGUGUUGUGAUUAUGAUUAAAAGGAUAUUUACGAUUAAUACAGGAGUUUUUCUAUAUGCGUUUGUUGAUAUAGACAUUAUUAGAGCCUCUUUCAUCAACUCCGAUUAAUCUAAUCGGCUGAUUAAUUCAGCCAUUACGUUUAUCACUGAAGAGCUGCAUUUAUGCGUACAUAACUAAUACAUGAUACUGUUUGUACUAUGUUUACCAAUAUGAGAUUAAACACAAUCUAUCGUUAGAAGAGAAAUGAGAGUGUUCUCGUAACUUGUAAAAAUUUUCAACUAUUAAUCAUUGUAUUAUACUUCAGUAAAAUUUUAUUGGUUGCGCCACUGCGCAAAGUUAGAGCUCUCAUGACUUGUAUUUGUGUUAUUUUAUUCACGCGAAUGAUUUUCUAAUAAUUUACAUUAAUUAUCGGAUAUUAUUUAUAAUUGCGCAUAAUACAAGGCACGAAAAGAAUGUUACCCAGUAAAUGAAAAUGGAUUAAAAUGGAUUGAAAAUUUUAAUCAAUUAAAUCCAUUCAAAUGCAUAUUUUAAAUCCAUGGAUUGAAAUUGAUUCCGUGGAAAUAAAUGCAUUUCGAAUAAUAUAGCUGUCAAUGCUUCUGAAGAUAUUAAGAUGGAUUUGAAUAUUAAAAAAAAACUGAUACACAUUUUCAAAUAAAAUUUUUUUUGCUUUAUACAGAUGAAAAUAAUGCAUUUUUUAUUUACAAUUUUGAAUUAAGCAUUUAUGAUUUAUUUUCGCGGAAAAACUUUUUUUAUUUAAUUGAAAACUACAUUUCCUAUCCAGAAUUUUGACUGAGCAGUAUCCAUUUUUUAAAACUGAAUUUAUUUCUGGAUUGAAAGGCAUAAAAAAAUGUGCUUUAUUCAAUUCCUAUAAAUAGAUACACAGAGAUGGGGUUUGAAAUGGAUUCAGAUUUUUAGAAGUACGCAUUUGCGAAUGUUAAGAUGAAUUCUUUUCAAUUCAUUUUAAUUCAUUUUCGUUUACUGGGUAGGUUACAUUGAAAUUAUUGUUGGCACUUUCACGAAUUUAUCGUUGAUUAAUUUAAUUGGAGGUUGAAAGAGGCCCUUAUUAUUACGGUAUUCCAAAUUUUUUAUCAAUGUUUCUUCAAUUUGAUUAUUUUUUUUGCUUGGGUAACUACCAACCAUUUGUUUCUUUUCCUGAACUCUCUGAAUUAGUGUGCACUUAAAAUGAAAUAGAUAUAUAUUUGAAAGUUAGUGAAAGUAAGAAGGAACGUUCCAGUGCAGUCUAGUGCAGGAAUAGAAAACAAGCCUCAAGUUUAACUCGCUAGAUUACCGAACUAGCAAUGUGUUACUUCUUACAUCACUAAACGUGUCACUUCUACUUUUUUGCGCAACAGGAUCUGAUUAUUACAGAUAAUUUUCAUUUCUUUAUAAAAAAAUAAGACCCCACUUCGAAAUACCGUCUCAAAAAUGUCAAUUUGCUAUGUUUUGAAAUUCUGAAAUUGCAUUUGCUUAUAGCGUUUUUCCUUGGUUGCACAAUCGCCCACUAGUACAACGCUCAGACAGUGUAGCGUACUUCCAUGGCUGAUGGCGGCAAAUUUUACUCGCUGUAAUGUUUCCAUGGCUUCAGUGUAGUGUAAGUUACAUGCACGAAGUGUGAUUUACAAUACACUAACGCAAAGGGGCGGUGUAGAGCGAGUGUGUUGUAACCAUGGACUGCAGUGCAGCGUUUGCACGCAAUUGGUACAGUGCAAAGUUACACCAAGCACGUACUCCUAGUGCAUCCUAAAGAAAAACUUUUUUGCAAUUUCAACCGCAACGGGGAAAAAACUACUGGAUAUGAUUACUCUUUUUUUUUGGUUAAACAGUGUUAUUAACGUCAAUUGAAGCCAUACGGUAACCAGGAACACAGUCAACAAUCGCGGAAUUGCCCGCUCCCUCCUCCUUCCCCACCGCAAUCGUUCGUAUGCUCCGUAUUUUAUCUGGCUCGAAUAGCUCUGUCGUCGUGUAUCUCUGUCGUGAAAAUCUGUAUAAGCAGCAUUCAGGCACACUUUGUGCACGUUUACGACCACUGACUGUUAAUGAUAAAAUACUUAUGUCCGGUCUCACCAAUGUAGAUUAAUUUUAAUCUCUUGGAUAACUUGCUGUUUAUCUUUUUCCAAUUCUUAAAGCUGGAGAAAGUUGAAGAGUAAGUUAAACCGAAAUUGAAGUUGAUCUGCAUUGGUAGAAAUGGAUAUUAGAGAUUCAAUAGUCUCGCGCGCGCGCUUCCCCGGGAUACUUUUACCCCGUGAUUGGUAAUAAUGGCCUAAACUGUGGAGAGCGAGGGGUGUCUCAACCGUACAACGCCUGAAAACAAACCCCCUUACAAACGAAGGUACCUAAUGACCGAAUAGAACUUGUGCACAAUGUAACGCGCAAUAUUGAUACAUCCGCGAGCGAUGUGUAUUUUUUAAUAAGUUGGAGAUUCCCUGGCGGUGUCCUUGGAAAAUAGCCGAUUGAGAUCCCUUAUUGAGGACACGAGGGAGAAACGAUGCGAAACGAUAGCUAAGAGCCGUUAGAAAGUAAAGAGUUUCCUGUAAAACUAUACACAUACAUACACACAAAGACUAAUUCUGUAAUAUUCAAAGGCUAAUAUAUAUAUAGAUAUAUAUAUAUAGUAAUCUUGUUUUUGAGUGUAGGAGGCUCGCCUUUAUCCGGCUGGGCGCAUCUUUGCUCUCCCCCCUUUAGUUAUAAUCGCAUGUAAUGAUAAUUGUUUCCGUUAUGAGAGACUACUGUUUGUCGAUUAUAAUUAUAAUAUAUGCAAGUUGUACGUGAAAUAAAUAUAAAUGCUGUAAACACAC